UUUCCGUAGGUGAACCUGCGGAAGGAUCAUUACAGUGUUCCCUGCCCUUCGGGGUAGGAUCGCCACCCUUGAUUAUUUAUGAGUGUUGCUUUGGCGGGCCUCGCGGCCUGGCCGCGCCCCGGCUUCGGCGGGGGAGCGCCCGCCAGAGGAUUCUACAAACCUGAUUAUUAGUGUCGUCUGAGUACUAUAUAAUAGUUAAAACUUUCAACGACGGAUCUCUUGGUUCUG
rnacentral:misc_RNA from 1 species